GAUGAACGCUGGCGGCGUGCCUAAUACAUGCAAGUCGAGCGAACAGACGAGGAGCUUGCUCCUCUGACGUUAGCGGCGGACGGGUGUGUAACACGUGGAUAACCUACCUAUAAGACUGGGAUAACUUCGGGAAACCGGAGCUAAUACGGGAUAAUAUAUUGAACCGCGUGGUUCAAUAGUGAAAGACGGUUUUGCUGUCACUUAUAGAUGGAUCCGCGCCGCAUUAGCUAGUUGGUAAGGUAACGGCUUACCAAGGCAACGAUGCGUAGCCGACCUGAGAGGGUGAUCGGCCACACUGGAACGGAGACACGGACCAGAGUCCUAAGGGAGGCCGCAGUAGGGAAUCUUACGCAACGGGCGAAAGCUUGACGGAGCAACGCCGCGUGAGUGAUGAAGGUCUUCGGAUCGUAAAACUCUGUUAUUAGGGAAGAACAAAUGUGUAAGUAAAUAUGCACGUAUUGACGGUACCUAAUCAGAAAGCCACGGCUAACUACGUG
rnacentral:rRNA from 1 species